UACGUAGGGUGCAAGCGUUAUCCGGAAUUAUUGGGCGUAAAGAGCUCGUAGGCGGUUUGUCGCGUCUGCUGUGAAAACUGGGGGCUCAACCCCCAGCCUGCAGUGGGUACGGGCAGACUAGAGUGCGGUAGGGGAGAUUGGAAUUCCUGGUGUAGCGGUGGAAUGCGCAGAUAUCAGGAGGAACACCGGUGGCGAAGGCGGGUCUCUGGGCCGAUACUGACGCUGAGGAGCGAAAGCGUGGGGGGCAAACAGG
rnacentral:rRNA from 1 species